GACGAACGCUGGCGGCGUGCUUUACACAUGCAAGUCGAGCGAUGAGAUCCCUUCGGGGAAGGAUUAGCGGCGAACGGGUGAGGAACACGUGAGGAAUCUGCCUUCAACACUGGGAUAACUCCGGGAAACCGGGGCUAAUACCGGAUACGAGACCUGCAGGCAUCUGCGGGUCUGGAAAGUUUUUCGGUUGAAGAUGACCUCGCGGCCUAUCAGCUUGUUGGUGAGGUAAUGGCUCACCAAGGCGACGACGGGUAGCCGGCCCGAGAGGGCGACCGGCCACACUGGGACUGAGACACGGCCCAGACUCCUACGGGAGGCAGCAGUGGGGAAUAUUGGGCAAUGGAGGGAACUCUGACCCAGCGACGCCGCGUGCGGGAUGAAGGCCUUCGGGUUGUAAACCGCUUUCAGCAAGGAGGAAGCGAAAGUGACGGUACUUGCAGAAGAAGCACCGGCUAACUAUGUGCCAGCAGCCGCGGUAAUACAUAGGGUGCAAGCGUUGUCCGGAAUUAUUGGGCGUAAAGAGCUCGUAGGUGGUUCGUCACGUCGGAUGUGAAAAUCUGGGGCUUAACCCCAGACCUGCAUUCGAUACGGGCGAGCUAGAGUAUGGUAGGGGAGUCUGGAAUUCCUGGUGUAGCGGUGGAAUGCGCAGAUAUCAGGAGGAACACCGAUGGCGAAGGCAGGUCUCUGGGCCAAUACUGACACUGAGGAGCGAAAGCGUGGGGAGCGAACAGGAUUAGAUACCCUGGUAGUCCACGCCGUAAACGGUGGGCGCUAGUUGUGCGAACCUUCCACGGUUUGUGCGACGCAGCUAACGCAUUAAGCGCCCCGCCUGGGGAGUACGAUCGCAAGAUUAAAACUCAAAGGGAUUGACGGGGCCCCGC
rnacentral:rRNA from 1 species